ensembl:piRNA 21ur-5820 ncRNA
UGGAUGAUUGAAUUGCAAUUU